AGUGAACGCUGGCGGUAGGCCUAACACAUGCAAGUCGAACGGCAGCACAGUAAGAGCUUUCUCUUACGGGUGGCGAGUGGCGGACGGGUGAGGAAUACAUCGGAAUCUACUUUUUCGUGGGGGAUAACGUAGGGAAACUUACGCUAAUACCGCAUACGACCUACGGGUGAAAGCAGGGGAUCUUCGGACCUUGCGCGAUUGAAUUAGCCGAUGUCGGAUUAGCUAGUUGGCGUGGUAACGGCCCACCAAGGCGACGAUCCGUAGCUGGUCUGAGAGGAUGAUCAGCCACACUGGAACAGAGACACGGUCCAGACGCCUACGGGAGGCAGCAGUAGGGAGUGUUCGGCAAUGGGCGAAAGCCUGACCGAGCAACGCCGCGUGAGUGAAGAAGGCCUUCGGAUCGUAAAGCUCUUUUAUUGGGAAAGAAAAGAAGCGGAAGAAUCUCCGCAUAUCUUGACGGUACCUAAACAGAAAGCAACGGCUAACUACGUG
rnacentral:rRNA from 1 species